rnacentral:tRNA from 1 species
GGGGAUGGAUGUCAUCCGGUGGUGGCCUCGGUCUUCAAAACCGUCGUGUCGUUUCUCAGAAGCGGCGGGUGGGUUCGACUCCCAUGCAUCCCCG